AGUAUAUCAAGGAUAUGGGUUAGGGAUAUACUCCAGUUAUUAUAGUGCUUACCUGACAUGCAUAAGGCCCUGGGUCCAAUCCCUAGAACUGCCAAACUAACUAACUGACUAACUGACUAACUAACUAACUAUCAAACAAAAUAAAUAAAGAUAAAAAACCAAGAAUGUGUAACAGGCCUUUUGGAGCUUGUGAGAUGGCUCAUAAAGGUGGCACCACGGCAACCCGAAAUUGAUUCCUGGAACUCACAUGCAUGUGGAAGGAGAGAAGUGAUUUCACAAAACUGUUCUGAUUUCCAUAUAUAGACAGUGCCAUACAUGUCUGCAUGUGUGCACACACACAAUACAUAAGUAAAUGUGUGUGUGUGUGUGUGUGUGUGUGUAUGAAGACUGGCCUGGUGAGAUGGCUUAGCAUGGAAAGACACUGCCUCCAGCCUCACAAACUGAGUUGGAUUUCUGAGACCCGCAUGGUGUGCUGUGUUCUUGCACAGCUCCUAGGGUUUGCCCUGACUGUGGUGGUGAGGGAGUGAAGGUAAAAUAAACACAGACAGAAGCGAUGGGAUCAGAUGGACCGGACUCUGCUGGAGAAACCACAGCACUCCAGAAAGCUCAGUGAGUUUCUUAUAUCCAGUUGGCCUGGGAGCCAUUGCAUACAGCUGAACGCGGAGCCAGGUCCUGAGGCUUGUUGCGGUCCUGGGCAUGGCUGUGCCCUUGGUCAAACAACACAGACCACACAGGACUUCACUCGCUGCCAACAGUGCAAGGAAAGAAAGAACUGACUUUUGCUUUUGCUUUUUUGGCAGUGCUGAGGAUUGAACCCAUGGCCUCGUUGCAUGUCAGGUGCUGGGAACAUUAAAUCUUCAUGUCUGGAGGACAAGAAAACUAAAAGUACUCAUUGUUCAGUAGCCACUGAGGCUGAUGGGAGGCGGGACUGUGGAUUCACGUGGCUGACGAUGACUGGUCUUCCUGGCCAUAUUACUUUCUCUUUCUUUUAUCAAGUACAGACAUGGCGCCUGCCUGGAGUGGUGGUAUGAGUGCCCAAUCUCAACGAAACAACCAAGGCCACCUGUUCCCAUUUUUUUUUAUUGCUGUUGUUACAUGUGUAUAUGUGACAUAUGUGCAUGUAUGUUCAUGUGUUUGUGGGUACACAUUGUAUGCCGGUGUGUGUGGAUAUGUCUCUACGUGGCCAUUGAAGAAAUUAAAACAGGAAGACUCGAUUGUUAUCGAGUUAUAGUUUCUUUGUGUUGGUAAACCUACAGAAAGAGAUGCACACAGUGAAUGGGGCAGAGAAACUGCAUUAGUAGCCAUUGGCUACUUAGCAAAUGUUUGGCUAUGCUAUUUCAUAUUUCAGC
rnacentral:lncRNA from 1 species